GUCACAGUCAGUGUCAAGUGACAAAAUGAUCUUAUUAGUGUGACUCUUAGUUGUAGGUUGUGUUGCGGAGAGUGAUGGAAUGACGAUUGACUGAUACGUUGACCCCUUGGAGAUACUUGCACAUUGACACUGACACAAGCCAUCAGUAUCUAAGGGAACCAUGGGCGUUGUGAUGGUGAACAGUGACAAGCUGACUCGCACCAAGGAUGAGUGGGACUGCCGCAUUGACCCUGGCACCCGUGGAAAGGAUCUGGUGGUGCAGGUGCGUGGGAGAGGCGCUGGGAGGAGGAACUGGGUUGAAAGAACACGUGGAAGUGAUAGGAGAUAUUAUGUUAGACUGGGAAAGGGAGAGUAAGGAUGUAAAAUAAAGUGAUAGGGAGUGUAUUAAACUGA
rnacentral:misc_RNA from 1 species